GUACAGGUACAGAUUUGUAGCUGAAAAGUGGAUGAGCAAUUGAAGAUUUGAUAUCUGUUCUUGUAUGUAGUUGUGAUUCGUGGCCUUCAAUAGUCAAGCGUAACAUUUUGGUGGAAAAAUCUGUCUGAACCCACAACAUUAGCAAACUUUUUUCAAAGUAAAAAAAAAA